ACUUUAAAGUGUCAAGGUGAGAUAAAGCAUAAUGUUAAACACAAUAUCAAAACAAAAUAGUCUCCUCUUGUAAGCCCCCUUUUAAGUCUCAUAAGAGAUCCCGAAUCCCAGAAAUUAUUCAUAGGGUUCCUAUCAUGACUAUUUAUUUAAUCUCAGAAGCUGAAUCUGUACGUAUUUUUCUUCAGGUCAUCAGCUUUGGGAUAGGUUUCAUCAUUGAUUGUAUCAUGACAAUUUAAACAGACAUACUUAUGGUAAUGUACUUUGUUCUAAAUCAAUCUUAUUUUGGUUGUAAACAGUUGCAUAUAUAAAAUACAGGUAAUCAUUCUAUUUACCAAGAGUGAAAUCAAGCAUUCUAAAGUGAUUCAUUUAGAGACCUGUAAAUACACUGAAUUUUAAAAAUUACAAAAUGUAAAGUAUACUACUGGGCCCUAUAGAAUUUGGCAUUUUUAAAGACUGAUAUGGUAAUUCAUAUUUCUGCAGUUGUAACAUGAAAUGAUAUAUUAAUCCCAGAAAUAUUUAAGGAAAUUGUUAAUAGACAAAAAAGUUAAUUAUGUAAUUUAUCUGUACUAGACUGACAACUAUGUGCAAGCAUAAUAGCCAAAAUUUGAUAUUUUUGUUACUUCAAACUAUUAGGUGUACGUUACAGAGAUAUACAACAGCCUUCAGUUUCAUCAGAUCUCAGUGGACAAAACAUCUGUAAAACUAAAAACCACUAUGAAGUUUCCACCCUCACUGGUAAUCAACAUAAAAGUACCUGGAUAUAGAACAAUCUUCAUUUUAGAGGGGGAUUCCUUCUGAUAUGGAUUGAAGUACAUAGUUAGUAUGGGAAUCUUGCUUUGAGAAAAAGGUAAAAAUAAUAGAUUUCUAUAUUUAAAAGAAGAAGAAGAACAACAACAACAACCACCACCCCAAACUCAUAAAAGGGUAUAUGUCUACAACAGGUUGAAAUGUUUGGUACUAAUAAUGAAUGAGCUGUUCAAUCUGAAUGUACCAGAAAGAACAUUAGUAAGACAUGGUACUUUAUAAUGAUUGAUGACCUAAUUCUAUAAAGUACUGUGGAUUAUCUCCAAGACUCAAGACUAUUAGCAGUCUAAAGAUAUAACUGUAUGAAUGACCACACAAUCAUUUCAAAUUAGUAGGGAUCCUUACUAGGACAGAAUCCUCUGGUUUCCUGCUGAUGACAAAGUUAUGGGGAAAUAGUGUUACAUAACACGUGUCAUACUUUGAAACAUGUUCCCGCCCAAAUUCCACACUUUGACAAAUCGGGAUAGACAUAGAUGAUAGAGUCCUUUAAGAAAGCAAAAGAUCCUGGAAAUGGCAGUCUUAUUAAAUUAAAAUAAAGAGCCAACCCAAUCAAAGCAUGGGAAUUCGGUUACUUCCUUUCAACAGACCUUAAAAGGGUAAGAAAUCCAGUCAGUAAACAGCCACCCAACCACCACUGUUAGUAGGAGCUAAGUGAAGAAACUUACUCUGUGCCCAGCCUUAGUGGAAUGAAGAAGUUGAUUGCAGACAGGGGGGAUGAAAAAAAAAGGGUGAAACAUGACCAAUGUUAAAAGAAAGCAACAAAAAGAAACCAAAAAAAAAAAAGAGAACAAAAAACCCAUACCAAAUGAGCAAACAAUUGUUAAUGAUUUCUGAGUGUUAUGAAAGAAAAUGUUAAAAAUCAGCUGUGCUCAAAACAAUACCAAAAUAAAUAUUUGCUUUAUUUUUGAACAUGACACACACACUUUUUAAUAAAUUUGUCUUGUCAGUUUCUCCUA